rnacentral:rRNA from 1 species
UACGUAGGGUGCAAGCGUUGUCCGGAAUUACUGGGCGUAAAGGGCUCGUAGGCGGCCAACUAAGUCAGACGUGAAAUCCCUCGGCUUAACCGGGGAACUGCGUCUGAUACUGGAUGGCUUGAGUGUGGGAGAGGGAUGCGGAAUUCCAGGUGUAGCGGUGAAAUGCGUAGAUAUCUGGAGGAACACCGGUGGCGAAGGCGGCAUCCUGGACCACGACUGACGCUGAGGAGCGAAAGCCAGGGGAGCAAACGGG